rnacentral:rRNA from 1 species
AGCGAACGCUGGCGGCAGGCCUAACACAUGCAAGUCGAACGAACUCUUCGGAGUUAGUGGCGGACGGGUGAGUAACACGUGGGAACGUGCCUUUAGGUUCGGAAUAACUCAGGGAAACUUGUGCUAAUACCGAAUGUGCCCUUCGGGGGCAAGAUUUAUCGCCUUUAGAGCGGCCCGCGUCUGAUUAGCUAGGUGGGGAGGUAAAGGCUCACCAAGGCGACGAUCAGUAGCUGGUCUGAGAGGAUGAUCAGCCACAUUGGGACUGAGACACGGCCCAAACGCCUACGGGAGGCAGCAGUGGGGAAUCUUGCGCAAUGGGCGAAAGCCUGACGCAGCCAUGCCGCGUGAAUGAUGAAGGUCUUAGGAUUGUAAAAUUCUUUCACCGGGGACGAUAAUGACGGUACCCGGAGAAGAAGCCCCGGCUAACUUCGUGCCAGCCGCCGCCGUAA